rnacentral:rRNA from 1 species
CAGCAGUAGCCGCGGUAAUACGGAGGGGGCUAGCGUUGUUCGGAAUUACUGGGCGUAAAGCGCACGUAGGCGGCUUGGUAAGUUAGAGGUGAAAGCCCGGAGCUCAACUCCGGAAUUGCCUUUAAGACUGCCGAGCUAGCAGGUGAGAGAGGUAAGUGGAAUUCCGAGUGUAGAGGUGAGAUUCGUAGAUAUUCGGAAGAACACCAGUGGCGAAGGCGGCUUACUGGCUCAUACUGGACGCUGAGGUGCGAAAGCGUGGGGAGCAAACAGGAUUAGAUACCCCUGUAGUCCCUGUCUCUUAUAC